AAGGGUAUAGCUCAGUGGUAGAGCACUUGCUUAGCAUGCACAAAGUCCUGGGUUCAAUCCCCUGUACCUCCA
rnacentral:tRNA from 1 species